ensembl:lncRNA
CUAGAUUAAAUUCGAUAUGCUAAAUUAAAUUCUGAUUUGGUUAAGCUGUCUGGGUUGUUUCUAAAACACACACACACACACACACAUCAAUUCAGUCUAAGACAUCAUUUACUUUCUGAAGAGAUUUAUUUCCAAACACAGGCUGGUUAUUAUUAAAAAAAAAACUUUUACCUCUCACAUGAUUUUUUUUAUUUAAAAUGUUUUUCUUUCUUUCUUUUCUUUUUUUUUUUUUUUUUAGAAAAACACAAUGUCACUGAAAGGAAAUAGCUAAAGUUGUCUAGUUAGGCAAUGUGAUUCCAUUGUCCGGUGAGCAAGCAAAGCUCCUAUCGACCAACAUGCACGUCACAUCACGAGGAUAAUUCAGUCCCAGAACGCAGCCUUACAACCGGGCCUCCGAAGUUUCCCACCAUCAACCGGUACGUUUUGUGUCAGGAGCCUCUUAAGGAACUAAAGUGUUCUGAAACUUUCCUACACAAGAAUUACAACAUUCCUGGUUUGCGUUUUUCACCCCGUUAAAGGAACCAGGACCGUUAUUUAAAAUAAAAUGUAAAAAAAAAAUAAAAAAGUGGUGCAAACUAUGUGACAAAUACAACACCUGCUGCAAAUAUAACAGCAACUGUGGAGGAGGUUGAGACUAAAGUUUUGGUUCAUUAUUGCUGUUGCACUGAUGACUGAGUAUGUUCACAGUAAGGAAGCUUUUUAAAAUUCAUGCUUCGACUUUGUUUAGACCUUACCGCUAGAAGAAUGUAUGCAUGUUCCUGUGCAAAAACCACAUUUUUGUUAAAUCGUUCUGCUUUGCCAGGUGUGCCACUCCACUUCGAAAAAACAAACAAACAAGCACUUCUUAGCUGCAUACAGUUGUUGUAUCUAUAUAUUCCAGAUAAGAUCGUUUGUCCCUGGUCACUGUUUGAUGGAUCGUUGAUGUUUAGUAGAGUAAGGUACAUCCCUGUAACUCCUGGAGCAGGAAAUAUAAUCGGCCCUGGUUCCUCUUGCGGGAAUGCCUUAUGUUCUUAAGUUCCUGAAACAUUCCUUGGUUCCUGUGGUGGAAACACUCCCGACGGCUGAUUUCUAUAUCUCGGAAGCUGUGCAUACGUACGCCUCAUACAACUAGAGGUUGUAAAUCGUGAUUCCCGGACUCCGACUAGGAAAACCAAAAGAAAACGCCCCGUCAACUCUGAGGACAUCAAAUCAACGCUUUAUACAAAGUUAAAUGUAACAUCAGUGAGUAGCUACUGGUGCACGUCAAGACUCUCUACACUGCGAUCAGCAACGGCGUUUCAGUCUGUGCAUGCAACUCGCACCUUGUUUCACUAUGCACUCGAGGACGAGAGCUUAGUCUUCUACAGGAGUAAAGCCAAAUCAUUUAAGAUUAUUACUCGUCACAUUGUACAAGGUGAUCCUAAUCAAAUAUAUAACACACUGUGUGAUAACGUGUGAUCUCCAUGUCAGAUUAUACAACAAGAUAGCUCUAACGGUA